GUAGUCAUAUGCUUGUCUCAAAGAUUAAGCCAUGCAUGUCUAAGUAUAAGCAAUUAUACAGCGAAACUGCGAAUGGCUCAUUAUAUAAGUUAUCGUUUAUUUGAUAGUACCUUACUACUUGGAUAACCGUGGUAAUUCUAGAGCUAAUACAUGCUAAAAAUCCCAACUUCGGAAGGGAUGUAUUUAUUAGAUUAAAAACCAAUGCCCUUCGGGGCUCCUUGGUGAUUCAUGAUAACUCUUCGAAUCGCAUGGCCUUGUGCCGGCGAUGGUUCAUUCAAAUUUCUUCCCUAUCAACUUUCGAUGUUUGGGUAUUGGCCAAACAUGGUUGCAACGGGUAACGGAGGGUUAGGGCUCGACCCCGGAGAAGGAGCCUGAGAAACGGCUACUACAUCCAAGGAAGGCAGCAGGCGCGCAAAUUACCCAAUCCCGACACGGGGAGGUAGUGACAAUAAAUACUGAUACAGGGCUCUUUUGGGUCUUGUAAUUGGAAUGAGUACAAUUUAAAUCCCUUAACGAGGAACAAUUGGAGGGCAAGUCUGGUGCCAGCAGCCGCGGUAAUUCCA
rnacentral:rRNA from 1 species